CUUGAAAUAUAUUUAUUUAAUGUGUGUGAAUAGCUACUUACAGGAAUAUGAGUUUCACACUUAUAAGGUCUAAGUUGGUAAAUAAAGUAAUUGACGGAAUGAACUUUAUACAAAUAGUUAAGUGCAUUGGUAAAUUGUAGAAAUUAUAGGGAUAAGUUAUUGGGCUUAGCCCACUUCUCAUGACCCAUAUAUCUCAGUGGCAUAGGAUAUCAAAUAAUUUAUUAAUUCUGGCAUGAAAAAAAAAAGGGAGAGGAACACUUUUGACACAACAAAGUGACGGCAACAAAGGGUCAGUUUCUUCGUGACUAAGACCUUGCGAAAACAAUAGAUUUUGAUCGUUCAGAGGCUCUACGCAAAGGGAAGGCAUUAGUUUGAUUGUUCGUGGCACCCGUUCGACAUUGAGAGUACGAUCCAGGUUCCAGUUCUACACCCCGUGGCUGAUACGCGAGGGUGACAUAUUUCAGUCAUUCAGGGUGAGCUACUUGGUCAUCCGUGGCUCCUGAAGGAUCUCCUCUAUUUAUUUCUGUUUUUGUAUUCGACAGACAAUAUGUAGCCUUCGGGUAUUUUCAGACUUAUAUUUCGUACUAUGUUAGCGCUCUUGUACCUUUUGACCAGAUUUUGGGGUUGUUGUGACAUUUCUAGUUAUGAUAAGUAUUUAAGA